GAGAUCAACAAUGGUGGACCCAGCGAUCAACUUGUUUUUCCUAAAAAUGAAAGGUCGACUGGAACAGACUAAAGACAAACUGGAACAAGCCCAAAAUGAACUGAGUGCCUGGAAGUUUACGCCUGAUAGAGGCCUGAUGCCGUCGGACUAUUCCGAAGAAGUGGCCACCUCCGAAAAAUUCCCCUUCUAGAACAUGUAGACACUUGAGAAAUGAGAAAUUGUUUCUGUUUGAAGAAAAUAGAGGGAGAAACAGAAGUCUUAAGUCUGUGGCACAGUGUGUCUUCAGACAAUUUGGAGGAAUGAAAACCUAGAGAUUAAUCAUGAAUUGAACAUGUAAAAUUCCAGUAAAAUGUAAAAAUGGAAUAUGCAUCGCUCUUAACCUUGAGCAUAGUGACUUAGAGACACUGUAUAUCAGUUUUGCCAAUAAGACUGUGGACUUCCUGAUUGUUGUUGAACUUCUGGGUCAAAACUCAAAUGAGGUGAAUUUUGCCUUUAAAGGGAUUAUUUACUAAGAACCAACUUUUAAUAGUCAUGAGAGAAUCAAAUAAUAGAUGUCAGUACAAGUAGUACAUAUAUUUAACCAUUUAGUUCGGGGCUCUAUAUUACUUGAUUGAGCCUUACAUCAAUGUGGUUUUAAUCAAUGGUGUGUUCUUUGAAUGGUUGCAAAAACUGUAGAUAAUCUUACUGAGGACUGUACAAACAUGAAGGUGUGGUAUCAAACUUCAGGUUUAAACUGUUUGAAGCAUUAUAAACAUUCAUUUCACAACUAGAUUGUAUAAGGGUAUUGGCUGUGAUGAGACUCACUGCGUUGUUUUUUUCAGUAGCAAACUUUAUGAAAUACACAUUCCAUUCAACAGGCACAUGUUAAAAGAGCAGUGUCGUUGGUGUUAAUGGGGGAAUGUGUUCCUUCAUUGUAUUUGGGCCUUUUGUAUUGCACUCUUGAUAUUAAAUUAAAUGUGCCUUGAAA